rnacentral:rRNA from 1 species
UAGUAACGGCGAGUGAAGCGGUAACAGCUCAAAUUUGAAAUCUGGCUCCCCGCGGAGUCCGAGUUGUAAUUUGUAGAAGAUGCUUUGGGUACUUGGCCUGGCCUAAGUUCCUUGGAACAGGACGUCAUAGAGGGUGAGAAUCCCGUAUGCGGCCGGUUGUCGGUGCCCGUGUAAAGCUCUUUCGACGAGUCGAGUUGUUUGGGAAUGCAGCUCAAAAUGGGUGGUAAAUUUCAUCUAAAGCUAAAUAUGGGCCAGAGACCGAUAGCGCACAAGUAGAGUGAUCGAAAGAUGAAAAGCACUUUGGAAAGAGAGUUAAACAGUACGUGAAAUUGUUGAAAGGGAAGCGCUUGCAACCAGACUUGGGCGUCGCUGAUCAUCCAAAGACUCUCUUUGGUGCACUCGACGACGCACAGGCCAGCAUCGGUUGGAGUGGUGGGAGAAAGGUUGCCGGAACGUGGCUCUCUUCGGAGAGUGUUAUAGCCGGCGACGCAAUACCGCCUACCCUGACCGAGGACCGCGCUUCGGCUAGGAUGCUGGCGUAAUGGUUGUAAGCGACCCGUCUUGAAACACGGACCAAGGAGUCUAACAUCUAUGCGAGUGUUUGGGUGUGAAACCCAUGCGCGGAAUGAAAGUGAACGUAGGUGAGAACCCUUCGAGGGGGCAUCAUCGACCGAUCCUGAUGUCUUCGGAUGGAUUUGAGUAAGAGCAUAGCUGUUGGGA